AACCGACCAUAAUAUGUUAAAUAUAUCAAUGAGUUAUAAAUCGCCUAAUGGUCGGCAACGGAUCUCAGUAAUUGAUAUAAUUCUUUUUAUUAAAUUUAAUCUUCUUAUCUUUAUUUUAAACUGCGCGCUGACAGGAUUCGUCAGACUUAAGACACAGUACCUAAGUUAAAUUUCGAUGCUCAAGAGCAUCUUAAAAUCCCCCCUUCCUACCUUUCCCGAAAAACUGUAAAUUACUUAAAUGCGAAAAAUAAUACCUCAGCCGGGGUCCUAGCCAAUUCGACCACCGAGGCAUAAAAAUAAUGGUAAUAAACUGUUAAAACUCACGAGAUAUUAUAUAAACGUCUUCAGAGAAAAGAUAUUAAGAUUUCAUUAAUACCAGAUUUAUUUUAAAAAAUAAAAAAUUGCUUUAAAAGUGCUUACUUCGCUACUAUUUCAUUAUAUUAAAUCAAUAUAUAAUAUAAUUUUAUUUUAAAUACUUUGUUUAUUUCUUAAAUAGAAGCUUUCGCAUCUUGCAACAAUAAUCGCCUUUCAGAUCAAAUAAAUUUCAGAUUAAUAUCAUUUCUACUGGCUAUCGGAUUGAGAGUUUUGUCCAUGAACCACGGCGAUCGCCGAAGUUAUCGAUUUGUUUAAUAGCGAUCAUUAAAAUUAGCUCUGGAUCACAAAUAACAAAGGUUGGCGUGGAAAAAUUGUAGAGGCCAAAGUAGCUUUACGUUAGGGAAAAGAUUAUAUAAUUUUCGUAGAAGAUCCGAGUGUUAUACGUUUGAAAGCAAAAGGCAUCAUGUUGCCCAAUAAUGGAAUCGGUUUGACAUGCGGGAUCUUCAGUUGUUCAAAAUUUAAGUUAACUUGUCUAACACAAAAUAGUAUAAGCAAAUACUCACUGCCAAUAUAGCCAAAAAUAGCGUAAACAGCUCUAUCAUGAUAUAAAUUUCCAAAUUAAUAGAGAACGUUUCUGAUUGUGGUUGUCAAUAGUUUUUGUUUCAGAUUGAUAAAUUUUUACGUUUGAUUGUUGAAGUACUGUCAGUUAUGAGUAAAGGAAAUAGCAGAGAUGUUGAAGCUUCUAUUAGAAACGGUUAACUCAAUAAAUUGGCAAUGCACCAUGCGUGGUAUUCUGCGAUUGACUACUGCACAAAUGCCAUGAUAAAAUUAAUAGUAACAAAUUAAAAAUAUGCAGAUAAGAAUAUUAGAAAAAAGAAGAAAGUCGUUUGGAUUUGAGAUAAUAAUACUAUUUUUGAAAACAUAUUCUUAUCAACAUGCCAAAUAAGCAUGAAACUGUCGCUUUUUAAAAUUAUUUUUAUCAGUUUUAUAUUAUAUUCAAAACAGGAUGAUUAAGUUGAGUGUAAUCAUUUUCGCUUAUAAACAACAACUUUCUGCAUGCCUAGCAACGGCAGACUGGGCAAUCCUAUUUCAUCGCACGCUUGCAUUAAAAAUACAGAAAAAGAAGAGAGAUUGCGGAAUAUUUUUUAUUAAAAAAGUUCAAGAACAAUAUUAACUUGCAAAAAAAUACAGAUAAUUUAAGUACAAUUUACGAUAGAUUAUUAUAUGUGACUUUCAUAUUAGUUCUCGAACAAUCUUUUCCUUCUGUCAAAUGUUGUGGAGUAUAAACGUACCGCUUAACACGGAUUCCGAAACAAUAAUUGACAGUUUUAUUUAAAAUUUUAUUGGCCCUUUGCAAUGAAUUAAUUAAGGUAGUUGGAUCUGUUUGUAUUUUAUAUAAUUUCUACCCUUAUUACUUUUAAUAAUUUGUGAUUGAGUAUAAAGGAUAUACUUGAAUGACAAAUUGGCUUUGCAUGUAUACAUGUGAGUCUGAUCUUGAAAAUAAGGCAAAUGAGCUUUUUCGCGCAAGAGAUUUCGAGAUCUCAAAAUUAAUUGUUCCGAUUUUAAUUAGACUGGUCACAAUAGAAAACUCGGAUCAAUAUUAUAUUAUAUUAUAUAAUAAAAUUGCCAUUAGAUUUUGGAUUAUAAUUUUAGCUUCUAAAAUAUUUUAACUGAAAGUAAAAUUGACAGCUAAAUUCCAGAUAAAGCUUAGUAACAACACGACAUUUGCGCAGUAAAAUUCGGCUCACAAGAUUUUUUUAUGUAUUUGGCGUCGCACCACUACUACGUCACUUAAUAUCGCACAAGAUAAGGAUUUUCGUCAUUUAGGGGAAUUCUAGUUUUAUCAGUUGCAAUACUCUUGAAAUAAAGUGCGUCAUGCGUCUUAUUUAUGAGCAUCCGGUGAUUCAUUACUAAUUAAAUUAAAGAUACAAGUGGCAAGAGGGGAACAGUAGACGUCAACAACGAAAUUGCUUUAAAAUGUGCAACAAAAUGGUAGUAUUGAUAAUAAGGCAAUAAAUAUCUUCUUCUGUUGAUUCAUAUACCCACACAGGACAAACCAUUUUAACAUCAUUGCAGCAGAAUUGCAAUUUUGCAGAUUGCUGUGCAAUGUUGCAGAAACAUUGCAUUGCCAUGGAUUUGCUAACUUUCAAUAGCAAUAUUACGGUAACGUUUUAGAAACGUUGUAAAAAUAUUUUAAUGUUAUAUUUUCUGAUAAAUAUUAUUAUAAAGACUAUUAUUAUUAUUAUUAUUAUUAUAAAGAUAAAAAUACUGUAAAUAAAAUUUUCUUUUGGCACUCAAAAAUUUUGAUCCAAAAUUCUGAUUUUAAACUGAGAAAAACAAUUCUAAUUAUUCUGUUUCAAGAACCUUUAAACUUAUAUAUAAUAUUAAUAAUAGCAAGGUUAAAAAAGUAAAAAAAUUCUCAAAUAAUGAAAAACUGUAGGUGCCUGAUGCUUGUUUAUUUCUUUUAUUGCAAAUUUCAAUAAUGCUGUUGCCAUAACCUGGACUAAUGACUUCUUUAUCGUCGAAUGAAAAAAACGCGAUAGUUCUUCGUUCGAUAGUAUAGCGGAUGUUAAUUUUGUGUAUAGCGCGGUCCUUUGUUCGUGUAUCAUGUGCAUUGUCCAUAUAAUUAUCUCGGGCACAUAUAACCGUAUCACACGGUCACCGGUAUAUAUAGUUGACCACGUGUCCAUCCAUUAUUGCGGUGUUAACUCGAUGGCGAAUGCCAAGCGCAUCGUCUCAAAUGCACGCACAUCAGAUAGAUCAAAAGGCCGUGGUAUUGUAUCUUGGACCGACCUAGACCGCAAACCUUACUUCAGUAGUACAAGCUGAAGCUGCAAUGCAGGAGGAACAGAACUGUAAGGGGAUACGUCGGUCUCUCUAACGCUCUCUGUUUCGCGUAUCUCCUUUCGAUUUAUGGCGUUGGUUAAUUAAUGUGAAAUUCACUCGGUUUCAAGCGAGUAUUUCGGCAAAUUUUAUCAUUCAAAUUGUCUAGCAUAUAUUAAUCGCAUAGACGAAAUAAAAAUUGUGCGAUAAUUAAAGGUUAGGUAAUUAAAGCAUGUAUUAACACAGUUAAUAAUAAUAAUAUCGAUAGUAUAGUUGGGCGCUUCGCUUUUGGGCGAAGAAAAUGUUUUACGUACAAAGCUAUGUAAUCCUUAAUGGCGGAACUGCCAAGAUAUCGCAUUUCUAUCAUUGCGAGAAACUGGUUGUGACUUGUCGCUCUCGCGCCCUCAGGGCACUGUCUGUAUACAUUAAGAAUAUUACUUGUUCCUAAUAUUUUUUGCUCCGAGCGCUCGUCUGAAUGUAUGCAUUUUUUUUAUUUCGCAGCGACUUCAAGAGUAACGAGAUUGCGAUGCAUCUACGCUACAUUUUUUUUUUUUUUAAGAAUUAGGAAUAUAAGAAAAAUGCAAGUUUCCUUUUUUGCACGCGAAGGAACAAAAAUACGAGGCAUUUAAAAUGCGUAACAAAAUCCGAUUGAAAUCCUCCCUACUUGAAAAAAAAAAACACAAAAUCUUUCAUCUUGGUAGCGACGUAAAUUAAAUCCAGCAACACACAAUUUAUUUACAUAAAACCAAUCGUGCAUGCCGCCCGUUGGCUUAAUAAACCUUUUCACGAUUCGAUCGACAGCCUUUUCAAAACAAACGGCUUAAACGUUCAGUUUGAACAAUAUUGCUUUUAUCCGCGCGCAGAGAAUACCUCGCCGGGAUGCAGGAUGUAAACCAGCGCAUUGGGGUCCGUUUUUUGUUACCUUGUAUCAUCAGCGAUACAACGCCGUCGAUUCCGCCGGUGUCGCUUUGCGAGAAAAUUAUUAAUUGUGACGUCUCGUCAAUACGUGACGGCGGCAGAACGGACGCGACGUCGUAAAAAGCUGUUGUCGCGACGGGUUAUGAGGGAGAGGGCGGUGGGAUUUUUAUGGGGGAAAAAUUCAGUGGCAGCACGUGCUCGCCGCGACAGGGAAUCGAAACGGGACGUAUACGCUCGCGCAAUUAAUAUUAUUUCGAACGCGACAAAACGAGCCCGAAUGGAUUUACGAGUACGGUGCAUCCUGAAAAUCCCUCCCCUCCUUCCUUCUCCCUCUCUUUCCAACGUCCUCACUUUUUUUUUACGACGCUUGUUUACGGGCGCACUUAACCACUAUGAUUUAGCGCUCGUGUUGUUCGAUCGUUUUGCGGAAGCACUGAACAGAAUUUGAGAAUCACAUCGGCGCGGACUGCUUUGCUCUCGCUCGCUUGCACUCAGCUGAAGCUAAAUUAUUGCGCUACGAAGUAAUAAAAGCUAGCUUGUCAGGGACAAAAAACGUCAGGUCAACUGUGAAACAUUACGUACGGAGAAAUUGGGACAAACCAAAUUGCGCUACUUUAAUUAACAUUCGUCAUUACGUUUCGUCGCAGUCGGAUGUAAAUAUAUGACCCACACACGUAACAUAAACCGAUAUUUUUUCAACUAUACUUUCAACAGCAAAUGUGCAUGUUGUUUUUUGUCGUUCUAUCUUCAGCUUAAUCUGAAUUGUUUAUAUUUACUCUCGAUGUGAAAAAAUUUAUAAUAGGAGAUUUUGCACAAAAAUCUUGCCUUUAAGUUUUUUUUUUUUUUUUUUUUUUUUUGGUAAAUAUCAGAAUAAAAAAACGCAAAAUAAAAUGUAUAGAAUAACUUCGGUAGAUCUGUUGCAUUUUUUGAAAACUUGAUUUAUCAAGUAUUAUAUUUAUUAUAUCUGAAAUAAAUAACAAAUGUCAAAUGUAAAAAAUCAAGUGUUAUUAAAAUCAAUAAACAAAAAAAGUUAAAUCAAUUAUAGAAAUGGUUUUAAUAUUUUAUACAUAAAAAUAUCAUAAUUGAAUCGUCGUUUUCUGAUUGCAAAUUAAUUUAAUUUAAUGUCAAACGUAAAAUUGUGAACGUGUUUAUCGAUAUAAAUAUAUCAAAUCUGUAUAAAUUGACUGCUACAUGCGUUAUAUAUUAAAAUUAAUAAGUAAUGAAUUAAAUACAAUUUAAAUAAUAAGAAAAGAAUAAUUAAAAAACUAACAGUGAUAUAACCUAAGAUGAACUGUAUGUCACAAGUCAAAUGUGCUGGGGAUAGUAAAUAUGAUCUUUUUGAUCUGCAUCUUAAAUGAUAAUGCAAUAAAAACAACCGUGUGUCGUUUGAUUUGUUUUGGAACUUGUUUUUAUUUAAGCGUAUUUUGUUUGUACUUUUCUCAGUGAGUUUAAGAUAAAUAAAUUGUAAAAAGUUUUAUACUGGCUACUAUAAAAACAAAAGUAUAAAAUUUCCUAUUCCAUAUUUAUAAAAAAAUUAAAAACCCUCGUAUUUUUACUAUACAUCAAAAGAUAAAAUAUAUAUUUAGCUACUUAUGAGCGAUACAAUCAAACUAAAUAGACAAAGAAUCCAAGAAUUAAGCAUUUGUGUUUUAUACUUCAUUCAUUAUUAUCUCUUUACUUAUGUAAAUAACCACUAAACCUUUUACACUCCCAAAAGAGAGAGUAAUCAUUUUAUAUACAUUAUAAUUUAUCGCUGUAUUACUCGCAAUAUUGAUAAAUUAAUUCACAAUGACUUCAUUAAUAUUAAAAGUAAAAAAUUAAAAUCAUAAUACAAUAUGAUACUAACAUAGCAUAAAAACUUAUAACGGAGUAAUAUUAAUUUUAUAUUUCUAUGAGAGAUUAUAAGAGUUAAAAUUAUAAAAUGUUUACAUAUCAAGAUAUAAUUUUUAUUUUUAUUAUAUAAAUUAUUAUACAAUUAUUAUACGAUUUAUCGUUAUUGCCCAUUUCUACUAACGUAGAUUAACUAUAAUCCCGGUUUAUCUCUCUCUUUAUCUUUUUCUAAUUUUUAGAAACUAAAAUGAGAUAAUAAGUAAGUUAAAUCGAGAUUAAAGUUAAUCUACGUUAGUAGAAACGGGUCCAUAUAAAUUUAUUAUUUUUCCUGGCUGAGAAAUCAUAUUUUUGCAAUAAUUUUUUUUACAGUUUUAUUAGAAAGAGAGCUUUCAUAGAUAUCAGCAUCAAUUACUUAUCAAUUUAAUUUGUGAAUUAAUUAUCUUGUGCAAAGAUUAUGUUUCAAGAUCGACAAAUAUGCCGCGAGUUCAUAUGAGAGCUGGAAAUUGUACAAUUUGUAUUAGGCAUCGAGAACUUGACCGAGAAAGAGCACUUCCUUUAUUUCUUGUAUCAAUUACAUAUCGGCCCAAUAUUUAACUUAUUAUAAUAUUAUUAAUUAAUUUUUUGUUUAUAUUGGAAAAAGCUAAUCAUGUAUUGCGGGAAUUGACUUUUGCCUAUGUAUCAAUUAUUUAAUCUCUCGGAUCAGUCGGUCAAAAGCCGAGGGGACCCUCGUAAAACCGCCAAUACACAGCGGGAUGAGGCCAUCGGGAAAGUUUUCGCUUGCAGACGUUACGUCAGCUCACUGCAAAUCGCGAUUGAUUUUACGAACUCAGAGCGCUAAACGGAUUAACGUCGGACGGAAUCAUAUUUGCCCCGUUGUUCCUCGAGCGUGUCCACGUGCUGACCUAGAUCGAUUCUAAUCUGAUCGUGCACCCGAGCCGAGGGCUUACGUCGAAAUUGUUCCCGUUGGUGACCGGCCAGCCGGCCGGUCGGUCGGUCGGUCGGUCGGUCAGCACUCUCCUUCGAUACCUCUCCACAGGGAUAUCCGCUUAAGUGCCACUAAGUAUGGUAAGAUAUAUGAGGAAUGGCCGGCGUUAUGUAUUCAUCGAACCGCGCGCACCUGAAUGCCACCCCGACGUUCCCAAUGGCGCGCGCAGGCAGACGCAUUCACGCAGUUACUCAGGACCGCGCUGUUUAUCGACAGCGGCUGUGUAUCGGAGGCUGGGCUCCCGGGAUGCAAAUGACUCUCGUACAUCACGUCGAUAGUACACAGUCCGCAGACAAAGGACUGUGGUACUUACCCGUCGGCGAAACGGACCCGCCGCCACUGGCGCGCCGAUGAAGCAGCGAAGACGUAGAUCACCCCCUUGCCGUUGUCCUCGAUGCUUCUUCUUCUACUUCUUCUUCUUCUUUUUUGCGCGCUGAAUACUCUAUCGCUGGGAUUUCUGCGCGAUUUCGGCUACCGCGUGGGGAAGAGGAAAUACUGGAACGGAAGAUAAAACUGAAGUAAACCCGAUUUUUGUCGCAGCGAGAUACAGCCCGGAAUACGGCCCGUUAUUUUUCACCGUUGGAAAAUAAUCGUGAUAUCAGCAGAAUAUAAACCAGGCUUUAAGAAAUCUGGAAAAAUAGGUAAGAUAUUUUUACGUCCCCCUAGAAAUUAAGAAAAAUUGCUACAUCUUAUGACCGCCGUUUUACCUUUUUUUCUUUCUAUAUUAAUUUGUUUAGAAUCUUGCGAUAUUCUUACUCAUUGUCGAUAGAAUUUUUAUGACACGGGUCUUAUACCAAUGGUAUUAUUUCGUCUCGCAUCGUCGCAAGUGCGCGUCGCUGUAACCGAAAUAUCGGUUUGGAACCAUGCCAGGGUCAAAUCUUUUACGGAGCUAGCGAAAUUUAACGAGAACAGCCCGGUAAGACUAUGCGGGCCCAGGGCCGAGAUUUAACAUCUCCGUGAAUUUUCCUCCUUCGAGAUAUUAAAGAGAAGAAUCUCUUUGUCUCUCGCAAAGGGGGGAAAAAAUUCAAGAUAUGGUAAUUCCUCUCGUGCACUUUCGACACGAUUAAUAAUACGUUAUCAAGCCGGGGUAAAUUUGUUAUCGCGAAGGAAAUGUCUCGGGCUACACACGUGUGACAAUUUGAAUUAAUUGCGCGCUAUUAAUUCGGUCGGGAAAUUAGUUCUGGAAAAAUCGUCGUUCCUAAUCUGCUCCAAUUAAACACGGUCGUAAACGCUUCGAGAUUUGUAUCGCCGCGCGAGUUUCACGCCACGCCGGCACACUUGGAAUAAGGACGAAUUAUUAUAUUAUUAAUCAGUCCGCGCUUCGCGCCUAGAGAGCCGGUCGUGAUCUCGCGCGCGCGUUAUCGAUGAAACGCCACUAUUAGCUUCAGGUUUCAGAUUUCCGCUGCGCGGCGGCGCGGGCACCGACCGACGUUUUACUGCGCUGGGGAUUAAAUCUCGGAGGUUUAUCUUAACACUCGAUAAAUUAUGCAAUUAAUUAGAGCCGGGCAAUUAAGCGGAAUCAGAUGGCGUACGAAUUUAGGAGGGCGUAAUUCCCGGGCGCGGCGGGGUGGCCGCGUGCGUGAGUCGAAAGCAUAAGGCUGAGGCCUGAAAAAAAGCAAUUAUCCUUCGUCGGGAGAACGGCCGGACACGGGAAGAGGUUUCGUGCGGCUAACGCUUUAUGAUGUUCGGACGGACUGGAAUUCACGGGCGAGCGUGAUACGUAUAGCGGGGGUGUGCCCGCCGACGCGGCAGAAAUUAACGAGCGUCACGAUAAUUAGAAGCGAUGGUCUUGGCGGCGGGAGGAAACGGCGGUAGCCGCAAAACCGGAAAUCGUGCGAUUAAAAUUUGUUUUGCGCGACAUCAAAGGUUUCCUUGCCGGCGCGCAAAGUCGCGCAAACGCGCGCAUUUAUACCGCUGAAAUCACUCUUUUCGGAACUAACGGCGGCGGCGGCGGCGUCCCGCGAGACCACGGCUACCGCCGACGCAGUUUAACUUAAUGCGACGCUAAACGCUCCCUUUUUUUUCCACGCGGGCCACGUGAGCGAAUUAGACGAUAGAGGAAGGGUUUUACACUCACGACCCUCGGAAACGUUGAGUUCGUGGCACCGUCACUAAUUACGCAAAAAUAUACCGAAGUUCAGUGGCGGCAACAACAGGCGGCGUGUCAGAUUUUCACUUCCGCAAUCUAGGGAAAAUACCCCUCCAAGUCUUAUUUAAAACUCACGCGACAUGUGUUACUGUCGUUCUUCAAACAUAAAAUACGCCCGUAUCAUUUCGUACGCGAUUGUAUUUCCGUCGUACGCGAAGUAAUUCCGAACGACGAAUGGGCAUAAACCGUAAAGAGGGGUAGAGCGGAAGGAGGAGCGAACUCCCCGGAAAUGGAAUGAAGAAGUUUAUGUACACACCGCUCGUAAAGCAUCCCCAAGAUAAAGUCCUCGUGUGCGGUUAUAUCUCCAGCCCUGUUAUCCUCCGUCAGGUCUCCCCCUCUUCCUCCCAACGCGUCGCGUGAUAAUUCCGUGACCGGGGGCAAUUAACGGGCCGCUGCUAAAUCGAUGAUUUGUGACCGCGCGAAAGAACUCUGGAACGACGAAGUGUCGCGAAUACAUAAGGAUCGCGACACAUCCGGUGCGCGACAUUUCGUCGACGAGAAGCGGGAUCUUAAAGUUCAAUCCUAUAUAAAAAUCAUCGCGUGCCGGCCGGGUUGCACGAGGAGAGUUCAUCCUCCCUAUAUCGACGGCGGCCAGUGGCCUCUCGGGAUCCCGCCGUGCGGCGCGGAAUCGAUACACGCGCGCGUCUGCAGCUGGAAAUUCGCUCCGCCGCCGGUGCAACGCAUCCAUUACAACGUCAAGCUCAUUCUCCGUAUGUAAAGCAGACAGCGCGGCGAGGAGAGCGGGCUUUAUUGGCCGCCGAGCAAGCACGACCGGCAAACGUGCGUAAAUGCGCGGGAGAGCGCGCCGCAAACAAUGACGUUUCCCGUCAGAAUUUUAGUGGGAAUUUCGACGGUUCGGCCCUUACGGCACGAAUCUGACCGAGGUGAUAUCGUCUCGCGAUGCAAAGCCGAGCACGGAAAUCAUGUCGGCUUUGAUUUCUACUUCGCGGGAGCGGCGGAAUCGCGGAUCCGCGCGGCGACUCGGUGACCGUAAAAUCGCAUUACGGUCGCCGUCAGCAGGGGAGAGGGUUAUGCGCCGCCUAAUACAAUGUAACCCCGAGAGUUGUCGGAGUAGGUACUCGGCGAGAGUUCGAACGAAAUUGACCCUUCGCGAGCACUCUCCGCCCGCGCACUCCGAACUUUGCGGGAUGCGCGCGCGCGCGCGCGCGCGCGGGCUGCAUCCGAUCGCAUUUACACCGUCGGACGACAAGGUUUGUGCUACGACGAGGUAGAUUGGACGGCGGCGGCGAAACUUCGGUGUAACACUCCUGGAUACCAUCAAUAUUGAAGAUCACGUGUAAAGCAAGAGUUUUCACGGUAACAUUUUCAAAGUUGCACACAUAUGCUCGUACUAUACGUGACAAGGAAAAAAUUUAAUUUCUGAUAAUUGUACUUUGUUAAUUUCUACCUUGAGCUUUAUUUUUUAAUUAAUUUUUUAUAAUUAUAUUUAAUUACUCUUUUGUACAAAAUAAUGAAGUGAUUAUUGAUGUAAAAAAAAACACACAUUAUCGCUUAUUAAAAAACCAUGUAUUGCAAAUUGCAUCAUUCUUUUAAACAAUAAUACUCUUCCGGGCGAAGACUCGUUUGACGUUAUCAAAAUUUUGUUUGAGAAAUUGAUCUCGUACAAGAAAAAAGGAAGAAGAACAAAAUUAAAAAUGCUAACAAUUUGCACUCGUCUUAUGGAUUGUCGAAUCGUUCCCUUUUUUAAAUGUAAAAAUCUGUAUUUGUUAACGCUCCCUCUUCCUGUUUCUAUCUCUCUAAAGCAAUUAUGUUAACUGAUGGCAGUGUCACACUAUGUUGUCAUAAUCUCUCACCAGAAUCAAGGAUAUAACACAAUUGACCUGAUUGACAUGGAAAGCUUUUAGUGUAACGUAAACCACAUGAUGUUUUAAUGUAUUUAUAUGACACAUUUAUAAUAAUAGACCUAUAAAUGUAUACGAAACGUAUAUAUAAUAGGUAUUAUGCAUGAAACUUAAUAAAAGUAUUCACAAAAUCCACUCUAAUUACAUCAAUAUAUAACAGGAAUAAAUGGCCGAAUUAUUAACAAUUAUUGUCCAAUACGUUGGAAAUUUGAUCUUAAAAUAUUUUUUUGUUCAAUACAUAAAUUAUAGUUAUCUGUCAACAUAUAAAUUAGAUAAUUAAAGAGAGUUUUUCCUAGAAAAACCAAACAAGUAUAUUUUUUAUGUGAUAUAUAUGAUCAAAACAUAAGGCUUCGUGCAACGUCACUCGUAAGUGAUAGAUCGUGAGUUUGAACCUACACAUCCGUAUAUACGGAUUUUUAAAAUCGUAAUCUUUAGCUCACUUACUAUUACUACUACUAUUUAGCAUUAAAUUAUUCCCCAUUAGCAUUAUAUGGUAUGUAAUAUUUUAUACCGGUAAGAUUCAGACAAAAAAUAGAGAGUUUUAUAUUUAUUAUUUCUAUCUAACAAGAAUCAAACCAGUCUAGACGUUCUUUAUUUCUUUUUUAAACGCGUCUUCGAAAUAUUAAUAUUCGAAGACGCAUUUAAAAAAGAAAUAUCAAAAAUUCGAAAUAUUAAUACAACUUCGUUCUUAUAUCUAUUAUAUGUCCAGAGAAAAAUGAUUAAAUUUAUACAAUAUACAGUUCGAAGAUGAGAAGUUUUUUGUUUCUUGAAAAUUUAACUUUUCAAACUUGUUUGAAUUCGGUUUUGUAUACGAAAUCCUUCAACUGUAUUUUACUUAAAUUUUUAAGGAGUCCACUUAUUAUUAUAACAUUUCAUUUAAAAAUAAAACUUUCAUCUUCUAAGACAAAAGCACUUUUUAUGAAAUCCACUAUUCGAUUCACUGUCGAUAAUUGGACGAUUUAUUCUACAACGUAUUUUACUUACGUACUCCUGCAACGUAACUAAUAAUAUUUGAUUGUUAAUAAACAUCACAGCUUGUGUUAAAGCUCACUUAAAAUCGCAGUUAUCGCAGUUACUUUUUCUUUAAUGGCCAACCAGCUGUAGAUGCAUACGCCGAUCGCGUCACGCACGUUCGCGACGGCCAUUUCUCUCACGUUAAAACUAUUUACGGCUGACGUACGCGGCCCCUCGUCUCGCCGACAGUUUGCUCGAUGGAUCGAUGAUGGAUGCAGGUUUCUAUCAGUUUCCAGAGAUCACCGGGCGAAGUGAACAAUGAUCGAUCGCGCGCGCGACGUGAAAAAUGAAAGGGAGCGCAACUAAUUGCGAGCGCACGAAUAAAUUCGUGUCCCUAUCACGCGCGCCGUAUGUUCCCCGCGUAUCGAAAAAAAAAGAAAAGAGAAAAAAAAAUACGACACCGCCGUAAGUGCUCGACGAGCCGAGGGGAGCGCAUCAGCGAGCGUGCGCGAUUCCGCACAUUAAUUUUCGCACGCUGCCGUGUCGCGUUCGACUCUGUUCCUGAAUAAUAACUGUAUAACACUAUGUUCACGAAACGUUCUCUCACAGAAUGUUUGCGACACGUGAUGCGUCACGAAAGUUCAACGGUAGAAUGUUUUCCCGUCUCGACUGAAGUGUGGCGCGUGUAACGAUAAACGAUCGCACGUGCAAUAAACAAUUUUAGUUUUCAAAUAAUUGCAUAUUAUACAUUUAGAUAAUGUUACGGUAAUUCGGCUAAAAGAUCGAGUUUCGAUAAUAACGCGAUUUCUAAUUAUAAUAUAAUAAUGGUUUUACGAUAUAUAUCAUAUUAUACUCGUAAAUAACGAAUUAAAAUGACGCUUUCGCUCGGUCGGGAAAGGAUCCAAAAUGGGAAUUCGUUAUUUAGAGAGCACGGACGCACAGAAGAUUCGAUCGUGCCGGAUCAAAGAUUCGCAGACGUUAUUACACGUUCGCUGAACCUGAUCAAAGUCUAUUUACCGGGUGAUGCCCUUCGGUAGCGAUAGACGAGUUUUACACGUGAAUUUAUCCCAUUCGGGAUUGCUCGUUCAAAUGUGUCAAAUAGUCUCGAUGCAAUUACUAUUACAACAUUGUGACUUUUGCGAUGAAAAGAGCAAAUGGGCAAGGCGUCUCUAUAACAAUUUCAUGUCUUCUUGAAAUGUCAAUCUCUACGUUUGAAUAAAUAAUAAGACGUGAAAAAUGAAUUGCCUUUUUUCUGUAGAAUACAAAUGUAUAAAAAUAAUGUGCAAAAAUUUAAAAAGAUCAGGUGCAAAGUGUAAUAAUACAAAUUCAAGUAAAAUAAAUAUUAUACAAUAUAUAAUGUUAGUAAUUGUAUUUCUAUAUUAUUACAUUUUAUUUAAUAAAGCUUGUUGUAAAAAACGACUUACGACAAGAAUAAGACGAAGAAAUAUUUAAAGCCUUGCUUUAAAUAUUUCGAAUAAAGCAAUUACGUACAAAAGACAUAUUAAA